rnacentral:tRNA from 1 species
GGAGCGGGUGUAGCUCCAGUGGUUGAGCACCUGCUUUGCAUGUAGGAGGUCCUGGGUUCAAUUCCCAGUACCUCCA